rnacentral:rRNA from 1 species
GAUGAACGCUGGCGGCGUGCCUAAUACAUGCAAGUCGAGCGAACGGACGAGAAGCUUGCUUUUCUGAUGUUAGCGGCGGACGGGUGAGUAACACGUGGAUAACCUACCUAUAAGACUGGGAUAACUUCGGGAAACCGGAGCUAAUACCGGAUAAUAUUUUGAACCGCAUGGUUCAAAAGUGAAAGACGGUCUUGGUGUCACUUAUAGAUGGAUCCGCGCUGCAUUAGCUAGUUGGUAAGGUAACGGCUUACCAAGGCAACGAUGCAUAGCCGACCUGAGAGGGUGAUCGGCCACACUGGAACUGAGACACGGUCCAGACUCCUACGGGAGGCAGCAGUAGGGAAUCUUCGGCAAUGGGCGAAAGCCUGACGCAGCAACGCCGCGUGAGUGAUGAAGGUCUUCGGAUCGUAAAACUCUGUUAUUAGGGAAGAACAUAUGUGUAAUUAACUGUGGACAUCUUGACGGUACCUAAUCAAAAAGCAACGGCUAACUACGUG